CUUAAGUUAACAAGAUGGAACUUAUGAUUGUUUAGUAUCAGCCCUUAAGCAGCAAUACUUUACAAAAGAAUAAUUUGAGCUUUAAAAAGGAGCGAUAUCUCCGGUUUUGUGGAAAUAUUAAAGCUAACAUACUGAGAUUUUAAUACUUAAAAUGUUGUUCAAUAUGGUAUUUAAGUUUCAGAUUCUUAGCAGCACUUCCGUUUUGUAAUACGGGCGCCACAAGUUACCAAAUUUAAUAUCUGUACGAAGUGGAACUACAACUCUGGUUGUUGCGAACAGAUCAGAAGCUAAAUAUGGAGACCGCGGCGAUCUGACGAACUGAAUAAAAGGGACUUGUUCCACAGCACCGGUCACAUCACACAAAAUGGAUAUUAAGCUACUAUUUCAUGUCAUAUUGUGCCAUUUUACGUUGUUCUGUGGUGGCAAUGUGUACAAAACCCGGCCUCGAUCGUGCUACAAACUCGGCGGAUUGUCCGGUUGGCUUCUGUUGUCGGGACAGCGGCGGGAACCUUAUAAACGGAGAGGGCUUUUCGGAGUUGCGACCAAUAGAAAAUAACCCCACAGUAAAUGGAACAUGCAGGCGUGGCCCAAGCAAGCCCGAUGCGGUGUGCACGGACCGAUGUGGUUGUACACGAGGGUAUACUUGUUAUCGAACAAUCACUGGCGCGUGCUGCCCGCCCACCACUUGCUGGGAGAGGAAAGCUGCGGCCAAGGACAAGAAAUUCUGGGAAAACUGCAAACCUCCCAAAUGUUUCUUUCCGCCUUCUGCAAACCCAGGGCCAUUGAAUGGGCCUGUAAAUUGAGAUUUGUAUUGGUUUUGAAGGACACACGAGCACGUUAAGAAACACUUGAUUUUUGCCAUGAUUGAAACAUAUUAUGUCAUGCCCUAAUUGGCAACACGAGUUUAUUAUUACAAUGGAUGAAUUAUACGUAUGUGAAAUCGUUA